AAAAUUUCCGGAGGUAUACGAUGGACCCGCGUCUGAUUAGCCAGUUGGCAGGGUAACGGCCUACCAAAGCAACGAUCAGUAGCCGGCCUGAGAGGGUGGACGGCCACAUUGGGACUGAGACACGGCCCAAACUCCUGCGGGAGGCAGCAGUGGGGGAUAUUGCACAAUGGGGGAAACCCUGAUGCAGCGACGCCGCGUGAGUGAAGAAGCAUUUCGGUGUGUAAAGCUCUAUCAGCAGGGAAGAAGAAUGACGGUACCUGACUAAGAAGCCCCGGCUAACUACGUGCCAGCAGCCGCGGUAAUACGUAGGGGGCAAGCGUUAUCCGGAUUUACUGGGUGUAAAGGGAGCGUAGACGGCAAUGCAAGCCAGACGUGAAAACCCGCAGCUCAACUGGGGGAGUGCAUUUGGAACUGUGUAGCUGGAGUGCAGGAGAGGUAAGCGGAAUUCCUGGUGUAGCGGUGAAAUGCGUAGAUAUCAGGAGGAACACCAGUGGCGAAGGCGGCUUACUGGACUGUAACUGACGUUGAGGCUCGAAAGCGUGGGGAGCAAACAGGAUUAGAUACCCUGGUAGUCCACGCUGUAAACGAUGAAUACUAGGUGUCGGGGGUUUACGGACGCCCG
rnacentral:rRNA from 1 species